rnacentral:lncRNA from 1 species
AUAGAGAUUUUUUAAGCCCCUUAUUUCAGCAACGUUAAACGUUAUACGCUAUUCUGCUCAUGCGCAUUAACUGAAAAAUAACGUAUUACCUUAUUAGCGGAUAAGGUAUCCCCUUAUUUCAGCAACGUUAAACGUUAUACGCUAUUCUGCUCAUGCGCA